CAGCAGCCGCGUAAUACGGAGGAUCCAAGCGUUAUCCGGAAUCAUUGGGUUUAAAGGGUCCGUAGGCGGUCUUGUAAGUCAGUGGUAAAAGCCCAUCGCUCAACGGUGGAACGGCCAUUGAUACUGCAGGACUUGAAUUAUUGGGAAGUAACUAGAAUAUGUAGUGUAGCGGUGAAAUGCUUAGAGAUUACAUGGAAUACCAAUUGCGAAGGCAGGUUACUACCAAUUGAUUGACGCUGAUGGACGAAAGCGUGGGUAGCGAACAGGAUUAGAGACCCCGGUAGUCCCUGUCUCUUAUACA
rnacentral:rRNA from 1 species